AGUCGAGCGAACGGACGAGAAGCUUGCUUCUCUGAUGUUAGCGGCGGACGGGUGAGUAACACGUGGAUAACCUACCUAUAAGACUGGGAUAACUUCGGGAAACCGGAGCUAAUACCGGAUAAUAUUUUGAACCGCAUGGUUCAAAAGUAAAAGACGGUCUUGCUGUCACUUAUAGAUGGAUCCGCGCUGCAUUAGCUGGUUGGUAAGGUAACGGCUUACCAAGGCAACGAUGCAUAGCCGACCUGAGAGGGUGAUCGGCCACACUGGAACUGAGACACGGUCCAGACUCCUACGGGAGGGCAGCAGUAGGGAAUCUUCCGCAAUGGGCGAAAGCCUGACGGAGCAACGCCGCGUGAGUGAUGAAGGUCUUCGGAUCGUAAAACUCUGUUAUUAGGGAAGAACAUAUGUGUAAGUAACUGUGCACAUCUUGACGGUACCUAAUCAGAAAGCCACGGCUAACUACGUGCCAGCAGCCGCGGUAAUACGUAGGUGGCAAGCGUUAUCCGGAAUUAUUGGGCGUAAAGCGCGCGUAGGCGGUUUUUUAAGUCUGAUGUGAAAGCCCACGGCUCAACCGUGGAGGGUCAUUGGAAACUGGAAAACUUGAGUGCAGAAGAGGAAAGUGGAAUUCCAUGUGUAGCGGUGAAAUGCGCAGAGAUAUGGAGGAACACCAGUGGCGAAGGCGACUUUCUGGUCUGUAACUGACGCUGAUGUGCGAAAGCGUGGGGAUCA
rnacentral:rRNA from 1 species